rnacentral:rRNA from 1 species
UACGUAGGGGGCAAGCGUUGUCCGGAUUUAUUGGGCGUAAAGAGCGUGUAGGCGGCUUUACAGGUCCGUUGUGAAAACUCGAGGCUCAACCUCGAGACGCCGGUGGAAACCGUAAAGCUAGAGUCCGGAAGAGGAGAGUGGAAUUCUCGGUGUAGCGGUGAAAUGCGUAGAUAUCGAGAGGAACACCUGCGGCGAAGGCGGGUUGCUGGGCUGACACUGACGCUGAGGCGCGAAAGCCAGGGGAGCGAACGGG